UCAUGCCCUUAGCUGUAAAACAGUGGUCGAAAAUAGUUGAAGACCGCAAAAUAAAGAUAACUAUGGAGAGGAUGAAGAAAAAAAAUAUGCCACGUUUUGAAUGCGCUUUGUCCCUGAAUUUCCCCUAUAAAUACCCCUUUUAUGUUAACACUAGAAACCACACCAACAAAUAUUCAUAUAUCAUCUCUUUUUUGCAAUCAAUUACAACAAUGAGUUUUUGCCAAGGAAAGGAUUCAUGGCCGGAACUAGUGGGGGUUU